CCUAAAACUAGUCAAUUUUGAACCCAACCUCUGUCUAGAAAGAGAAAGAAAACUAAAGGAAGAACAAAUUCGAGAAAGAAAAAGAAUCAUUUACGAGAAAGAGAAGCAAGAAGAAUGGAUGAAAAAGGAGUUAAUAAAGAAAAAGGAUGAAAAGAUUCAAGAAUUUAUUCGCACAAGAGAAGACAAUUAUAAGAAGAUGAAAACCAAAGCUCUUCAAACUUCCAUGAUCAGAACAGCUGUCAGGAGCAAAUCACUUUGUUCACUGACAAGCAGUCUGAAAAAGUUAUCUCUUGAUUGAAAAAAAUGUUCUUAUGAAAAAAUGUUUAAUGAAAUAAAAUCUUAAUUUCU